rnacentral:rRNA from 1 species
UGCAAGUCGAACGGUAACAGGCCGCUGUGAUCUCUUCGGAGUGAACUUGGCGCUGACGAGUGGCGGACGGGUGAGUAAUGCAUAGGAAUCUGCCCAGUAGUGGGGGAUAACGUGGAGAAAUCCACGCUAAUACCGCAUAUGUUCCACGGAACAAAGCAGGGGACCUUCGGGCCUUGCGCUAUUGGAUGAGCCUAUGUCGGAUUAGCUUGUUGGUGGGGUAAAAGCCUACCAAGGCGACGAUCCGUAGCUGGUCUGAGAGGAUGAUCAGCCACACUGGAACUGAGACACGGUCCAGACUCCUACGGGAGGCAGCAGUGGGGAAUAUUGCACAAUGGGCGCAAGCCUGAUGCAGCAAUGCCGCGUGUGUGAAGAAGGCCUGCGGGUUGUAAAGCACUUUUAUUAGGAAAGAAAAACUCAGGGUUAAUACCCCUGAACUUGACGGUACCUAAAGAAUAAGCACCGGCUAACUCAGUGCCAGCAGCCGCGGUAAUACUGAGGGUGCAAGCGUUAAUCGGAAUUACUGGGCGUAAAGCGAGUGUAGGCGGCUGCUUAAGUCGGAUGUGAAAGCCCCGGGCUCAACCUGGGAAUUGCAUUCGAUACUGAGUAGCUAGAGUUUGGUAGAGGUAAGUGGAAUUCCGGGUGUAGCGGUGAAAUGCGUAGAUAUCCGGAGGAACAUCAGUGGCGAAGGCGGCUUACUGGACCAAAACUGACGCUGAGGCUCGAAAGGCGUGGGGAGCCAAACAGGAUUAGAUACCCUGGU